GUGGGGAAUCUUGCGCAAUGGGCGAAAGCCUGACGCAGCCAUGCCGCGUGAAUGAUGAAGGUCUUAGGAUUGUAAAAUUCUUUCACCGGGGACGAUAAUGACGGUACCCGGAGAAGAAGCCCCGGCUAACUUCGUGCCAGCAGCCGCGGUAAUACGAAGGGGGCUAGCGUUGCUCGGAAUUACUGGGCGUAAAGGGCGCGUAGGCGGACAGUUUAGUCAGAGGUGAAAGCCCAGGGCUCAACCUUGGAAUUGUCUUUGAUACUGGCUGUCUUGAGUACGGGAGAGGUGAGUGGAACUCCGAGUGUAGAGGUGAAAUUCGUAGAUAUUCGGAAGAACACCAGUGGCGAAGGCGACUCACUGGCCCGUUACUGACGCUGAGGCGCGAAAGCGUGGGGAGCAAACAGGAUUAGAAACCCGGGUAGUCC
rnacentral:rRNA from 1 species